UCUCAAUUCAGGGUCUGCAUCCUACCUCGGCCGGAUUCGUCGGCCGGUUACGUCACAGCGCCGCGACUCGGCCUGUCCCAAUUCGAAGACUCCUUCAAAUGCGGUCGACGAAUGCGGCCUUCUUUUCGCCUGAAUGAAGGAUGGGUCGGGUGUAUCCUUCAAUAGGUAGCAUUUCCCAAGAUGCCUUGCGGGCCGGCCGGCAGAAAAACUUAAAAACAAUGGCGGACAGUGAAGCGGGAGCUGUCGGAGAGGAUUGCGCAUAUACAUGAACAAAAGAGAAAACCAGGGAAUUUAUUAAGCUUAGGACGGAGAUGGACCACAUGAUCACCGGAGCAAAGUAUUCGGCGGCUGUGGCAUGGAGACUAUUCUGGAGAAAAUGGGCAUCCAGGGGAAGGUGCCAGCGAUGAGCUUCUGGAGCUGAUCUGGGAGGACAUGAGGCUGCAGAGGGAGGCAGAGCAGCAGGAGCCCAGGAGAGAAGGAAGAACUUUGACAGCUUUUUACUUUGCUAGAAAAAAAUGGUUAAGGAAGAUUAAACAUGUACAUGUAAAAGAAAUAUCUAAAUAAAAUCAGUUCUGCAUUAAA